rnacentral:rRNA from 1 species
AACGAACGCUGGCGGCAGGCUUAACACAUGCAAGUCGAGCGAGACCUUCGGGUCUAGCGGCGGACGGGUGAGUAACGCGUGGGAACGUGCCCUUCUCUACGGAAUAGCCCCGGGAAACUGGGAGUAAUACCGUAUACGCCCUUUGGGGGAAAGAUUUAUCGGAGAAGGAUCGGCCCGCGUUGGAUUAGGUAGUUGGUGGGGUAAUGGCCCACCAAGCCGACGAUCCAUAGCUGGUUUGAGAGGAUGAUCAGCCACACUGGGACUGAGACACGGCCCAGACUCCUACGGGAGGCAGCAGUGGGGAAUCUUAGACAAUGGGGGCAACCCUGAUCUAGCCAUGCCGCGUGAGUGAUGAAGGCCUUAGGGUUGUAAAGCUCUUUCAGCUGGGAAGAUAAUGACGGGACCAGCAGAAGAAGCCCCGGCGAACUCCGU